rnacentral:rRNA from 1 species
UACGUAGGGUGCGAGCGUUGUCCGGAAUUACUGGGCGUAAAGCGUGCGUAGGUGGUUCGUUGUGUCUGUGGUGAAAGCCCCGGGCUUAACCUGGGAAUGGCCAUGGAAACUGGCGAGCUGGAGUGUGGCAGAGGGGGGUGGAAUUCCGCGUGUAGCAGUGAAAUGCGUAGAGAUGCGGAGGAACACCGAUGGCGAAGGCAGCCCCCUGGGCUAACACUGACGCUGAGGCACGAAAGCGUGGGGAGCAAACAGG